GACCGGGGUCUCUUGGACUAUCCCCUGCAUCUGCUCCCUCUGGAUUUACCCCAACCCCUAGUCCUCAAGGUAAUUUCACUUUAAUGCAAGCACUUAAAGUUUCUUACUCUUAGUAUACUAACAUUAUAUUUUAAGUGCUAACUAAGAGUUUAUUAGUUUGUUAUUAACAUCAGGCUCUUAAUUUUCUUUGAGCAGCUUCUUCUGAACUUCCCUCACCAACUUCACCUUCAUUGGCACCUCAGUCUGACACAAGUGUUCCUCUAUUGACUCCACCAUCUCCAUCAGUGGAUUCUGAUACCCCAUCUUCAUCUACAGGAAGUGGCCGCUCCAAUCUGACUCCAUCAUCUGCCAUGACAUCUUACAAUGUCCCUCCUUCUGCUCUAUUGAUUGCACUGGGAUUCGCUGUUCUCAAAUACUACUAGGUUGUGUGUUUGUUAUAUCCUGUGAUGUUCUUCCAUUAGGUUGUUAUAUAUUCUUUACAGUGUGGCUAUGGCAGG
rnacentral:lncRNA from 1 species